GCCGAAAUUCCUCAGUUGGGAGAGCGUUAGACUGAAGAUCUAAAGGUCCCUGGUUCAAUCCCGGGUUUUGGCA
rnacentral:tRNA from 1 species